UUUAUAUCAAAUGGUUUGUUAAUAGGUUUAAAUAUUCUAAAAUAAUUUUAUUUAAAUGAUUAUUUAUAGACUCUAAAAUAAUUUUACUCUUAAGUCUUAAAUGGAAAACAAAUAUCACCACUGGAAAUAGAUGAUACUUUAAAUAACUUUCAAAUACUCUUGGACAAAGUUAAUAUAACACAAUUUUGCUAAGGAGAUGUUAUUGCCAAUCAAAAUGCUAACUUUGGAGCAUCAUUUGAUGCCCAGUAUGUGAAGUCCAGUGGCCAAUGGUGACAUAGUAAUUACUUAACAAUUAUUAAAGAAGCUGACAAGUACAAUCAAAUUACUUUUAAAUAGUAUUGUAAGUUUAUGAUGUAAGCGUUUGAUAUUUUCUAUUCAAAGAAAGUGUACAAAACUUAAAAAAGAAGAAAACACCAGUUUAUUAACUAGAAAAUUAGUUAAAUAAAGUAAAAAAUGAAAUGAACGCAUUUGGGGACACAGAGAUAAAUGCAAUUUUUGAGAGGUUAAAUAUAUCAAAUUAACAAUCUGAAUUAACUUAAGAAAUAAUUGCUGCUGCUAAAGUAAAAAUCCCUAAAAAUCAAUGUUAUAGUGAAAACUGGAUGAUGCUGUGUUUAUUAUUUCAAAUAAGAUUUCCUUGCGGUUAUAUAUUUUUGUUAGAACAAAAGAUUUUGCCAUUACCUUGUGUAAAUGCACUGAGAAAUCACUUAUCACUUAUUGGCAAUUAAAGUUGGUUGCAGUUUUUAUUAUGUGUUCUUUGGAUUACCCAAGAAAUAUUUUUCUUAUAAAACUGAUCAUCAAAAAAAGGUAAUAUUAGUGUUCUACAAGACAUUUCUUAGGGAGAACAUAAGUGUUAAUACUAGAGCACUAACAUAUCUCGGACAAGAAGAGUUUGGUGAAGGCUUUGA